ensembl:lncRNA
AGGGGGGGGGGAAACGGGGGGUGUUGGUUUAUUUAUGGCGCUUUGUUCUGCGGCGCUGCUGUUGGGGAUGCGGUGGUGCAGGGAGAGACUUCAGCUUGGAGGGGAGGGUUUGGGGGUGGGGAUGUCCGAAAUGCUGGGGGUGAGCGGCUCCUGGGGGGGGUUCCACGUGGGAUAACAGCAAAAGCAAAGGGCCGGGCCGGGCUGGGCCAGCAGUGAGGCCAAAACGCACCGCUGUGCGCCCCGAAAUCCGCUGCUGGGUGUGCAAAGCGUUGGCGGUGCGUCUUUGCAGAGGGGCAGCUCCCACCACGGCCGUCCAAUUCCGCCUCUUUGGCAGUGGAUUCCCCGGGGUGCACUGCAUCUGUGCGCAGCCACGCCGUGUGUGCGUUGCACAGAGACACCGGCCCUUGGCGUGCUGCUGUGUGUGCAAGGGCGGGCGGUGACGUGCAAUGGUCUGCAAGGACGUGCAAAGGUGUGCAAGGGUGUGUGAUUUGCAAGGAGGUGAGAAGGUAUGCAAGGAUGUGUGAGGGCAGACAACGGUGUGCAGUGGUGUGCAAAGGUGAGCAGGGGUUUGCAAGGAUGUGCAAAGGUGUGCAAGGAUGUGCAAAGGUGUGCAAGGGUGUGUGAUUUGCAAGGAGGUGCAAAGGUGUGCAAGGAUGUGUGAGGGCAGACAAUGGUGUGCAAUGGUGUGCAAAGGUGAGUAGGGGUUUGCAAGGAUGUGCAAAGGUGUGCAAGGGUGUGUGAUGUGCAAGGAGGUGCGAAGGUGUGCAAGGAUGUGUGAGGGCAGACAAUGGUGUGCAAUGGUGUGCAAAGGUGAGUAAGGGUUUGCAAGGAUGUGCAAAGGUGUGCAAGGGUAUG